CCUACGGGUGGCAGCAGUAAGGAAUAUUGGUCAAUGGACGCAAGUCUGAACCAGCCAUGCCGCGUGGAGGAUGAAGGUCCUCUGGUUUGUAAACUUCUUUUAUUUGGGAAGAAACUCCCGAUUUCCAUCGGGAUUGACGGUACCAGAUGAAUAAGCACCGGCUAACUCCGUGCCAGCAGCCGCGGUAAUACGGAGGGUGCCAGCGUUACUGGGUUUCACUGGUUCGUAGGUGGGCGUGUGUGGGCGGGGUGAAAUCUCCGGGCUUAACCCGGAAACUGCCUGUGAUACUAUUUGUCUUGAAUACUCUGGAGGUGAGCGGAAUAUGUCAUGUAGCGGUGAAAUGCUUAGAUAUGACAUAGAACACCCAUUGCGAAGGCAGCUCACUACGGAAAUAUUGACGCUGAGGCACGAAAGCGUGGGGAGCAAACAGGAUUAGAUACCCCGGUAGUC
rnacentral:rRNA from 1 species